UGGGGAAUUUUGCACAAUGGGGGAAACCCUGAUGCAGCGACGCCGCGUGAUUUAGAAGGCCUUCGGGUUGUAAAAAUCUUUUCUAUGGGAAGAAAAUGACAGUACCAUAGGAAUAAGGACCGGCUAAUUACGUGCCAGCAGCCGCGGUAAUACGUAAGGUCCGAGCGUUGUCCGGAAUCAUUGGGCGUAAAGGGUACGUAGGCGGGUAAGCAAGUUAGAAGUGAAAUCCUAUAGCUCAACUAUAGUAAGCUUUUAAAACUGCUCAUCUUGAGGUAUGGAAGGGAAAGUGGAAUUCCUCGUGUAGCGGUGAAAUGCGCAGAUAUUAGGAGGAAUACCGGUGGCGAAGGCGACUUUCUGGCCAUAACCUGACGCUGAGGUACGAAAGCGUGGGUAGCAAACAGG
rnacentral:rRNA from 2 species